ensembl:snoRNA
UGGACCAAUGAUGACAACCGGUGGCAUAGGAGUCAUAGAUGAUGAAUAAUACGUGUCUGGGAGUCUGGGGUCCCA